GUUUUAUUUUGCAGCAACAAUUCCAACAUGCGUAGUGAAAAGGAUGAUCACAGUGAUAAAUAUAUUGAUACCGAUGAGAUAUUGAAAGAAACAAUCGGAGAUUUUCUGGGAAGCACAUAAAAUUGUUGAUAGCUAUUCACCGAAUCUAUUGGCAAAACUCGAAAAAUGGGGAGAAUUGAAGGUGGAGGAGAUCAAAGAUGUGUUGCUUUAAGGAAAUUAUGUAAAAGAAACUGGAAAAUACCAAUCGAAAUAAUUGCACAGGUCUAUUUUAAAUGAAACUUUCUCUUUAUCUUUGUGCGUAACACACAUAUUCAUCAUCAUAAUGAGGUGACUCCUUUUAAUUCAUGAGGUGUUAAAACGAUUGUCUAAAUACCAAUCUCCCUAGUCCAAAUUG